rnacentral:rRNA from 1 species
ACGCUCGACACCUACGGGAGGCAGCAGUGGGGAAUAUUGCACAAUGGGGGAAACCCGUGAUGCAGCGACGCCGCGUGAGUGAAGAAGUAUUUCGGUAUGUAAAGCUCUAUCAGCAGGGAAGAAAAUGACGGUACCUGACUAAGAAGCCCCGGCUAACUACGUGCUAGCAGCCGCGGUAAUCUGAGCGGGCUGGCAAGGC